rnacentral:rRNA from 1 species
UACGUAGGGUGCGAGCGUUAAUCGGAAUUACUGGGCGUAAAGCGUGCGCAGGCGGUUUUUUAAGUCUGAUGUGAAAGCCCCGGGCUCAACCUGGGAAUGGCAUUUGGGACUGCAAGGCUGGAGUUUGGCAGAGGAGACUGGAAUUCCUGGUGUAGCAGUGAAAUGCGUAGAGAUGUGGAGGAAUACCGAUGGCGAAGGCAGCCCCCUGGGAUAACACUGACGCUCAUGCACGAAAGCGUGGGGAGCAAACAGG